ensembl:lncRNA
GUAUGACAUCAUGAGACACGCCCCUUGUUUGCUGCGUCAUUUCUAGUUGCCGGUCAGGUAUGUUUAGUGAUGUUGGCUGAGUGUUACUAGUGUGCUGUGUUUCAUGUUAGUAUUCUUGUUUAGAGCAUAGAUUUGGAUAAACCUUGCGGCUGGUGCUUGGUUAACGUGGUCUCUCUCAACCGUCUAAAGCAAGCGGGAGAGAGACUGUAAUAGCCCAGACGUUCUGCCUUACGCUACAUAGUAGUUUUGCCCCAUUGUGUGCUGUAUUGCCGACCGAGUGAGCCCACGGGUGCACAGAAUGUUGCGUACCUGAUCGGUCGGGCUUUGAGAGAGCACACGGAUACGGUAUGUGUUUUGUUUAAUCUCGUCUUUCUUUCCAAAGAGCAGGUUAUAUUGUAUUGUUAAUUGCAUUAUAGAUUAUCACGAAUCGGCAGUGCCUUGUCCCCCUUGUGCACGUAUUUAAUCCAGAUCGACAGAAUGAGCUCACAGCUUUCGGCUUGGCUGUGCAUUUAACAAGUAUUACGUUCUGGACAUUUGACUCAGGCGGUAUGUUUUUAAAGCUAUAAUACACUGAUUCAUUUGCUAUUUGAUUUAUUUAUAAUUUAAUUUCAUUACAGGUAGACUUGUUGCGUCUGCGGGCGAUUUUAACUCCUUACUGUGGGGGCUUCGUGGGAAGUAUCGUCCAGAGGCGCUGUUGCUUUGCCGGUCCUCUAAUAUUAUUGUUGCGUGCCCUUGUGUUUUGUUCUUUUGUUAUUUGAAAAAUGUUUGUAAAAUGGUUGUUUAUUUUCUUUGUUCUGUUUAAUGUUUUCUUUUGAUUGAUUUAUUGUUUGGUAUUUUCUUUAACACUCUUUAUUGUAUUUCGAGUUAUUUUGUGUAUACGAGAGUGUUUACGUUCCUC